rnacentral:rRNA from 1 species
UAGGGAAUCUUCCACAAUGGGCGAAAGCCUGAUGGAGCAACGCCGCGUGUGUGAUGAAGGGUUUCGGCUCGUAAAACGCUGUUGUAAGAGAAGAAUGACAUUGAGAGUAACUGUUCAAUGUGUGACGGUAUCUUACCAGAAAGGAACGGCUAAAUACGUGCCAC